AUACGGAGGAUCCGAGCGUUAUCCGGAUUUAUUGGGUUUAAAGGGUGCGCAGGCGGCCAUUUAAAUCAGCGGUUAAAUCGUGGGGCUCAACCCCAUUCUGCCGUUGAUACUGGGUGGCUUGAUUGCGGUCGAGGUUGGCGGAAUUCGUUGUGUAGCGGGGAAAUGCAUAGAUAUGACGAAGAACACCGAUUGCGUAGGCAGCUGACCAGACCGCAAAUGACGCUCAUGCACGAAAGUGCGGGGAUCGAACAGGAUUAGAUACCCUGGUAGUCCGCACAGUAAACGAUGAAUACUUGUUUUCGGCGAUAUAAUGUCGGAGGCAAAGCGAAAGCGAUAAGUAUUCCACCUGGGGAGUACGCCGGCAACGGUGAAACUCAAAUGAAUUGACGGGG
rnacentral:rRNA from 1 species